AUUCCAGCUCCAAUAGCGUAUAUUAAAGUUGUUGCAGUUAAAACGCUCGUAGUCGGAUUUCGGGGCGGCUUCGUCGGUCUGCCGAUGGGUAUGCACUGACGCGGGCGUCCUUCCUUCCGGAGACGCGUCCUACUCUUAGCUGAGCGGGGCGUGGAGACGGAUCGUUUACUUUGAAAAAAUCAGAGUGUUUCAAGCAGGCAUCAUCGCUCUUGCAUGGAUUAGCAUGGGAUAAUGAAAUAGGACCUUGGUGCUAUUUUGUUGGUUUCGAGCACCGAAGUAAUGAUUAAUAGGGUCAGUUGGGGGUGUUCGUAUUCCGUUGUCAGAGGUGAAAUUCUUGUAUUUACGGAAGACGAACGACUGCGAAAGCAUUUGCCAGGGAUGUUUUCAUUA
rnacentral:rRNA from 1 species